rnacentral:rRNA from 1 species
UACCACAUCCAAGGAAGGCAGCAGGCACGCAAAUUACCCAAUCCCAGCUCUGGGAGGUAGUGACGAAAAAUAACAAUGCGGGACUCUUCCGAGUCUGCGUAAUUGGAAUGAGCACACUUUAAAUCCUUUAGCAACAACCAAUUGGAGGGCAAGUCUGGUGCCAGCAGCCGCGGUAAUUCCAGCUCCAAUAGCGUAUAUUAAAGUUGUUGCGGUUAAAAAGCUCGUAGUUCGAAUCGAGUCACGGACUGAGAGGGGGGGUCACCGCCCGGUGCUCCCCCGUCAGGCUCCGGACAGCUUCCGUGAGUGGAAGCCCCGCCGGUUCUGCCGGGGUGCUCUUCACCGAGUGUCCCGCGCGGCCGGCCAGUUCACCUUGAAUAAAUGAGAGUGCUCAAGGCAGGCUACUCUCGAAUACAAUGCCCGAAUGUUACCUGCAUGGAAUGAUGGAAGAUGAUCUCGGUUCCAUUUUCUUGGUGGUGGGAGCCCGAGGUAAUGAUAAAGAGGGACUGUCGGGGGCAUCCGUACUACGACGCGAGAGGUGAAAU